AAGGAUUUAAGUUAACCCCAAACUAAUGGUUUUCAAAGCCGUAAAUAAAGACUUGCUUUAAGCCUUA
rnacentral:tRNA from 2 species